rnacentral:rRNA from 1 species
UACGUAGGGGGCUAGCGUUGUCCGGAAUCAUUGGGCGUAAAGCGCGCGUAGGCGGCCCGGUAAGUCCGCUGUGAAAGUCAAAGGCUCAACCUUUGAAUGUCAGCGGAUACUGCCGGGCUAGAGUCCGGAAGAGGCGAGUGGAAUUCCUGGUGUAGCGGUGGAAUGCGCAGAUAUCAGGAAGAACACCAACGGCGAAGGCAGCUCGCUGGGACGGUACUGACGCUGAGACGCGAAAGCGUGGGGAGCGAACAGG